UACGGGGGGGGCUAGCGUUGUUCGGAAUUACUGGGCGUAAAGGGCGCGUAGGCGGUCUACUAAGUUGGAUGUGAAAACUCUGGGCUUAACCCAGAGCCUGCAUUCAAAACUGAUAGGCUAGAGUUCUGGAGGGGAUAGCGGAAUUCCUGGUGUAGCGGUGAAAUGCGUAGAUAUCAGGAGGAACACCUGUGGCGAAGGCGGCUCUCUGGGACGGUACUGACGCUGAGGAGCGAAAGCGUGGGGAGCGAACAGG
rnacentral:rRNA from 1 species